rnacentral:misc_RNA from 1 species
AAGUCGUAACAAGGUUUCCGUAGGUGAACCUGCGGAAGGAUCAUUAUUGAAUUCAACUGUGAAGCUGUUGCUGGCUCUCCGGAGCACUGUGCACGCUUUACAACAUUAUUCAACCACCUGUGAACCUUUUGUAGACCCGGUAGAUAUUUUCAAGGAAACUUGGAUGGGAGGUUGCUGUUCUCUCAGAGAGCGGCUUCGUCUGAUUUAUCUGGGUCUAUGUCUAUUAUACUCCACAGUAUGUUAAAGAAUGUGUAAUGGCUGUAUGGCCUUAAACUAUACAACUUUCAACAACGGAUCUCUUGGCUCUC